rnacentral:rRNA from 1 species
AUUGAACGCUGGCGGCAGGCCUAACACAUGCAAGUCGAGCGGAUGAAGGGAGCUUGCUCCUGGAUUCAGCGGCGGACGGGUGAGUAAUGCCUAGGAAUCUGCCUGGUAGUGGGGGAUAACGUCCGGAAACGGGCGCUAAUACCGCAUACGUCCUGAGGUAGAAAGUGGGGGUUCUUCGGACCUCACGCUAUCAGAUGAGCCUAGGUCGGAUUAGCUAGUUGGUGGGGUAAAGGCCUACCAAGGCGACGAUCCGUAACUGGUCUGAGAGGAUGAUCAGUCACACUGGAACUGAGACACGGUCCAGACUCCUACGGGAGGCAGCAGUGGGGAAUAUUCGACAAUGGGCGAAAGCCUGAUCCAGCCAUGCCGCGUGUGUGAAGAAGGUCUUCGGAUUGUAAAGCACUUUAAGUUGGGAGGAAGGGCAGUAAGUUAAUACCUUGCUGUCUUGACGGUACCAACAGAAUAAGCACCGGCUAACUUCGUG